rnacentral:rRNA from 1 species
UACGUAGGGAGCGAGCGUUGUUCGGAAUCACUGGGCGUAAAGGGAGCGUAGGCGGGAAUGUAAGUUAGAAGUCUAAUCUUCAGGCUUAACCUGAAACUGGCUUCUAAUACUGCUUUUCUUGAGUAUGGGAGAGGAUGAUGGAAUUCCAGGUGUAGCGGUGGAAUGCGUAGAUAUCUGGAAGAACACCAGUAGCGAAGGCGGUCAUCUGGCCCAAUACUGACGCUGAGGCUCGAAAGCUAGGGGAG